GAAAUGCGAUAACUAGUGUGAAUUGCAGAAUUCCGUGAAUCAUCGAGUCUUUGAACGCACAUUGCGCCCCCUGGUAUUCCGGGGGGCAUGCCUGUCCGAGCGUCAUUACUGCCCAUCAAGCACGGCUUGUGUGUUGGGUCGUCGUCCCCUCUCCGGGGGGAACGGGCCCCAAAGGCAGCGGCGGCACCGCGUCCGAUCCUCGAGCGUAUGGGGCUUUGUCACCCGCUCUGUAGGCCCGGCCGGCGCUUGCCGAACGCAAAUCAAUCUUUUUCCAGGUUGACCUCGGAUCAGGUAGGGAUACCCGCUGAACUUAAGC
rnacentral:misc_RNA from 1 species